CGAAGAAUACACAAACACUUUUACAGCCCACCUUCUUGUUAGCGGCAAUGGCUGAAUAAAAAGCAGUCAGCAAGGUCUUGUACAACUCGCCCUGACGACCUUACAAAAUCCAAGCGGUGAUAAAAGGGUGGAGUGAUAACAAUAGCGAGCCAGUCAAUGAAAGUUGUUAAGCUUUGAUCAAGGCUGGUAUCUGCAGCACCAAAGCUACUGGCGGGCGCCUGUAUUGGACUUCGAAGAAAUGGAUGGAAGCCCAGAAAGCACAAGAGACCAACACAUGCCAAGCAAGAGCAAAAAAAGGCCAUCGAAUUUUUUAGGGAAAAAGAUAAACACAAGUGCGUAAUGUUAUGUAAGUAAGACACAUGCCGAGCCAAAAGAAUAAAGGGAGCCAUUUUGAUUUUA